GCUGUCAGAAGAACUGGCCCUUCCCAGGUCUUGGUGUGGUUCCCAGGAGGUGCCUUCAAGACUGGCUCAGCCUCCAUCUUUGAUGGGUCCGCCCUGGCUGCCUAUGAGGACGUGCUGGUUGUGGUCAUCCAGUACCGGCUAGGAAUAUUUGGUUUCUUCACAUACUGUCUCCCAUGGCCAAAGGCUUAUUCCACAAAGCCAUCAUGGAGAGUGGGGUGGCCAUCAUCCCUUACCUGAAGGCCCAUGAUUAUGAGAAGAGUGAGGACAAAACAAAGUCUUUCACUCGAGUGGUUGAUGGUGCUUUCUUUCCUAAUGAGCCUCUAGAUCUAUUGUCUCAGAAAGCAUUUAAAGCAAUUCCUUCCAUCAUCGGAGUCAAUAACCACGAGUGUGGCUUCCUGCUGCCUAUGCACAUCCCGCCUCAGUAUUUGCACCUUGUGGCUAAUGAAUACUUCCAUGACAAGCACUCCCUGACUGAAAUCCGAGACACUCUUCUGGACUUGCUUGGAGAUGUGUUCUUUGUGGUCCCUGCACUGAUCACAGCUCGAUAUCACAGAGAUGCUGGUGCACCUGUCUACUUCUAUGAGUUUCGGCACCGGCCUCAGUGCUUUGAAGACACGAAGCCAGCUUUUGUCAAAGCUGACCACGCUGAUGAAGUCCGCUUUGUGUUCGGUGGUGCCUUCCUGAAGGGUGACAUUGUUAUGUUCGAAGGAGCCACGGAGGAGGACAAGUUACUGAGCCGGAAGAUGAUGAAAUACUGGGCUACCUUUGCUCGAACCGGGAAUCCUAACGGGAACGACCUGUCUCUGUGGCCAGCUUAUAAUCUGACUGAGCAGUACCUGCAGCUGGACUUGAACAUGAGCCUCGGACAGAGACUCAAAGAACCGCGGGUGGAGUUUUGGACCAGAACCAUCCCCUGAUCCUGUCUGCCUCCGACACGCUCCACAGUCCUCUUUCUUCCUUAACUUUCCUCUCUCUCCUCCAGCCUUUCUUUUUCUCUUGUGCUCCUUGAGAAGUUAUCUUUCUGUGAUUUUGGUUUCCCUUCUCCUCCUAUAAUUUCUCCCGCAAU
rnacentral:sRNA from 1 species